AUUGAACGCUGGCGGCAGGCUUAACACAUGCAAGUCGAGCGAGCGGCGGACGGGUGAGUAAUGUCUGGGAAACUGCCUGAUGGAGGGGGAUAACUACUGGAAACGGUAGCUAAUACCGCAUACCAUCAGAUGUGCCCAGAUGGGAUUAGCUAGUAGGUGGGUUAAUGGCUCACCUAGGCGACGAUCCCUAGCUGGUCUGAGAGGAUGACCAGGCACACUGGAACUGAGAAACGGGCGAGAAUCCUACGGGAGGCAGCAGUGGGGAAUAUUGCAAAAGGGGCGCAAGCCUGAUGCAGCAAUGCCGAGUGUGUGAAGAAGGCCUUCGGGUUGUAAAGCAAUUUCAGCGAGGAGGCGUUACUCGCAGAAGAAGCACCGGCUAACUCCGUGCCAGCAGACGCGGUAAUUC
rnacentral:rRNA from 1 species